rnacentral:rRNA from 1 species
CACGUAGGGCGCAAGCGUUGUCCGGAAUUAUUGGGCGUAAAGAGCUCGUAGGCGGUCUGUUGCGUCUGCUGUGAAAACUCGGGGCUUAACCCCGAGCCUGCAGUGGAUACGGGCAGACUAGAGGUAGGUAGGGGAGAAUGGAAUUCCCGGUGUAGCGGUGAAAUGCGCAGAUAUCGGGAGGAACACCGGUGGCGAAGGCGGUUCUCUGGGCCGUAACUGACGCUGAGGAGCGAAAGCGUGGGGAGCGAACAGG